CACUUUUGUUUUGCACACUUGCUGUUUGCUGAAAUGCUUGAGUUAGGAUUCUAUUUAAGUUAAUUAUUGUUAUUGAUAGUUAGAUAAACUUGGAGAAUUCAAUAUCCUUCGAAGAUGGCUGUUUGUAGUUAGAAAGUUUAGGGAUGAUGAUUAUUCUUUUAUUUUCCAGGUGCAGGUUUGCGAGUUAAGAUUGUUUUUGUGUUGCAUGAGAAGAAUUGUUGGUUUGAUGUUAUAGAUUGGAUUAUGACAAAGUGGAUAAGCCUCAACAUCUUGUGAUUUUUCUGUGGCAAUUUGUGAGGUAAUGCCUUUUAGUUGCUAUAUAACAAAGACCAUCUUUUUGUUUCCGUUCCACAUUGAAUAAUCAUUCGAAUCUCUUGUCACAAGCAUCGCCAUGCUACACUAUCUUUUCCAUGUUAAGAUUAAACCAUCAUUUGCGAUCAAUCCAUUUACCACCAUUAAGUAUUUCUCCUCCAGAGCGCCUUCUAUCACAUCUUUUCUCCUAAAACAAUGCAAAUCCUUAACCCAAACCUACCUCAUCCAUCAGCAGGUGGUAGUCCAAAACCUUACCCACAUCACCACUUCCCACCUCAUUGCUGCUUACAUUUUCCACAACUCUCCUUCCCAUGCUCUAUCCCUUCUGAUACGCCGUUCACCCUCAACUUCCUCCUCCUACUGGUGGAAUAUGCUAAUCCGUCGUGCUGUUAACCUUAGGCUACUUGACAAUGCACUCCAUCUUUUCCUCCUUAUGGUGAGGUUUGGAUGGCAUCCUGAUCAGUACACUUUCACUUUCGUCCUUAAGGCCUACGGGGAGCUCAACUACUUUUGUAGUGGCUCUUCUGUUCAUGCUCUGAUUUGCACAAGUGGGUUUGAUUCAAAUGUCUUUGUUUGCAAUGCACUAGUGGCUAUGUAUGCUCGAUGUGGGGCCUUGGGCUAUGCUCAACAGAUGUUUAACGAUAUGUAUCAGAGAAGGAUUUAUGAUAGUGUUUCAUGGAAUACAAUUGUAGCAGCUUACAUGCAAAGCGGCAAUGUAGAAACUGGGUUUAUGUUGUUUGAUAAAAUGACUGCUGAUGUAAAAGUUCGGGUGAAUGCUGUUAGUCUUGUCAGUGUGCUUCCUGCAUGUGCAUCCGUUGGCUCGUGGUUGAGGGGUAAGCAAGUGCACGGUUAUGCAAUGAGGAAUGUGUUGUUUGAGGAUGUAUUUGUGGGAAAUGCAUUGGUGGAUAUGUAUGCAAAAUGUGGAAUGAUGGAGGAGGCGAAGAAGGUUUUUGAGAGGAUGAAGGUGAAGGAUGUGGUUUCUUGGAAUGCCAUGGUUACAGGGUAUUCUCAAAUUGGUAACUUUGAAGAUGCUCUUGGGUUGUUUGAGAAGAUGAUGAAUGAGAAGAUACAAUUAGAUGUUGUGACGUGGAGUGCUGUGAUUUCAGGAUAUGCACAGAGGGGACAUGGGUAUGAAGCGUUGGACGUAUUUAGACAAAUGCAGUCUUGUGGGUCAAAGCCAAAUGUUAUUACUCUUAUGUCACUUCUUUCAGGUUGUGCUUCUGUUGGAGCAUUGCUUCAUGGAAAGGAGACACAUUGUUAUGCCAUCAAAUGUUUUUUGAGUUUAAAUCUAAGCGAUUCAGGAGAUGAUCUUGUGAUAAUUAAUGCUUUAAUUGACAUGUAUGCUAAGUCCAAGAAACUUGAUGUGGCGCGUGCAAUGUUUGAUACAAUUGCACCAACAGAUAGGAAUGUUGUGACUUGGACUGUCAUGAUUGGUGGUUAUUCUCAACAUGGGGAAGCCAAUGAUGCACUAAGACUUUUUGCUCAAAUGGUCCAGCAGGAUAGAUCUGUAAAGCCAAAUGCUUUCACUUUAUCUUGUGUUCUGAUGGCUUGUGCUCGUUUGGCUGCACUGAGGUUUGGUAGAGAAAUUCACGGUUUUGUUUUGCGGAGCCAGUAUGAAUCAAAUAUUCUAUUUGUGGCUAACAGCCUUCUGGAUAUGUAUUCAAAAUCAGGAGAUAUUAAUACUGCUAGAGUUGUAUUUGAUAACAUGCUGCAAAGAAAUGCUGUUUCAUGGACAUCCUUGAUGACAGGUUACGGUAUGCAUGGGCAUGGAGGUGAAGUUCUCCAGCUUUUUGAUGAGAUGAAAAAAAAAGGUCUAGUGCCUGAUGGUGUAACCUUCCUUGUGGUGCUUUAUGCUUGUAGCCACUCAGGAAUGGUUGAUCAAGGAUUAAAGUAUUUCCAUGGCGUGAGUAAGGAAUUUGGUAUUAGCCCAGGGCCAGAUCACUUUGCUUGCAUCAUUGACUUAUUGGGUCGUGCGGGUCAUUUGGAUGAAGCUAUGAAACUUAUAAAAGAUACGCAAAUGGAACCAAGCCCUGUUAUUUGGGUGGCACUGCUUAAUGGUUGCAGGAUCCAUGCUAAUGUGGAACUCGGGGAAUAUGCUGCAAAUCAAUUGCUAGAAUUGGAGUCAGAGAAUGAUGGCUCAUAUACGUUGCUCUCAAACAUCUACGCAAAUGCUGGGCGUUGGAAAGAUGUAGCCAGGAUUAGAUUUUUGAUGAAACAUACUGGGAUUAGGAAGAAGCCUGGUUGCAGCUGGGUACAGGGAAAGAAAGGCACUGCAACCUUCUUUGUAGGUGACCGGACCCAUCCACAGUCUCAAAAAAUAUACGAAAUCCUUGCAGACUUGAUUCAACGCAUUAAAGCCAUGGGAUAUAUCCCAGAGACAAGCUUUGCACUUCAUGAUGUGGAUGAUGAAGAAAAAGGUGAUCUUCUUUUUGAACACAGUGAGAAAUUGGCUCUUGCAUAUGCAAUCCUAACAACAGCUCCAGGGGCACCCAUCCGGAUCACAAAGAAUUUACGCAUCUGUGGUGAUUGCCACACUGCUAUAACUUACAUAUCCAUGAUUAUUGAAUAUGAAAUUAUUUUGAGAGACUCAAGCCGCUUCCAUCAUUUCAAGAACGGAUCUUGCUCCUGCAGAGACUAUUGGUGACGCUGGAAUGUUACUGUCCAGUUGAGUAAUUAAAUGUUUUGAAGCUUUUGAAAUGUAAAUUUUUUUUUUCUGUAUACUUUCAUUAUACUUUUUUGCCAGGUAUUUGAAGUCGGCAAAUAGAAAUAGUUUUUUGACACUGCAAUUUGUUUGUGUGUGUGUGUGUGUGUAUUUAAAGGUUGUAAUGGGUUCAAUAUUCUUUUAGUAAGCGAGUAUUGGUAGCUGGAAGUUGAUGGCCAGCUCUCUACUCUAUGCGAAGCAAUUCGGAGAUCAAUACAAAUUGUUGAUCAGUGCUCAUGUUUACAAGAAGCAAUUCUUUCUCAAACUUGUCCACUUCAAAAAAUUAGUAAACACUUUCAUUUCACUUCAAUUCUAUGCUUGUAGGUUCCCUGUGCUUGGCUAGUCUAUGAGAAUUUAGUCCCCAAUUUUACCAUUUAUGAUGUUGAAUAUCCAGAUCAUCUGUUUUGCAAGUUCACUGAUGACAGUCAAUACCUGAAAAGUUAUGCAGAAACCAUCAGGAUGUGAUUGUUUAUAGACCAACAUGGCUGUUGUUUUCAUGUAAGGAGGAAUAUCAUGAAAAGCCCGGAGGUUUGAGAGUUUUUUCACCCAAAUAUAUACAAGGACUUUUUUUUUUUUUUUUUUUUUUUUUUUGUUUAUGAUGGAGAAUAACAAAUUCUGACUUGUGCUACAGAGAAUCUGUUCCAUUCAUAGAAAAAAUAACAUUUCGCCUCAUGAGGUUGGAUGUAAUGGUCCUUCUUUAUGAUUCUAUUAAUAUAGCCAGUGAAAGCGUGUAUGGUUGUAGGAUGAUUUACUGGCAUUGUUACCGAACCAGGAACACAGGAAGCUUUGUUGAUGUGCAGGCAGUUGGUAUAUUUUCUUGCGGAGAUGAUGGCCUUCACGUAUAUCAA